rnacentral:rRNA from 1 species
UACAGAGGAUGCAAGCGUUAUCCGGAAUGAUUGGGCGUAAAGCGUCUGUAGGUGGCUUUUAAGUCCGCCGUCAAAUCCCAGGGCUCAACUCUGGACAGGCGGUGGAAACUACCCAAGCUUGAGUACGGUAGGGGCAGAGGGAAUUUCCGGUGGAGCGGUGAAAUGCGUAGAGAUCGGAAAGAACACCAACGGCGAAAGCACUCUGCUGGGCCGACACUGACACUGAGAGACGAAAGCUAGGGGAGCGAAUGGG